AUGGUGGUCUUGUCGCCGUCGCUGCAGUCCUUCCCGCCCGCCGAGGCCAUCCGGUCAUCGCAGUUCGACAGCCACGUCCGCUUCCCCGGCCAGAUCGCCGGGGGCGCGAGGGGCCUCCCCUUCCGCCGCGCGCCGUCCUUCCGCAAUGCCGCUGACUGCGGCAACGCCACCGGCAAUGUCUGCAACCCCUCGCUCGUCCACAUCGCGAUUACUCUGGACGAGGGGUACCUGAGGGGCUCGGUCGCCGCGGUCCAUUACGUGGUUCAGCACGCCAUGUGCCCCGAGAGCGUCUUCUUCCACUUCCUCGUCUCUGACCCGAGCCUGGGCGACCUCGUCCGCGCCGUCUUCCCGCAGCUCCGGUUCAAAGUCUACUACUUCGACCCCGCGCGCGUCCGGGGGCUCAUCUCGUCGUCGGCGCGGCAGGCGCUGGAGGAGCCGCUCAACUACGCCCGCAACUACCUCGCCGACCUCCUGGAGCCCUGCGUGCGCCGCGUCAUCUAUCUGGACUCCGACCUCGUGCUCGUCGACGACGUGGCCAAGCUCUGGCGCACCGACCUCGGCGGCCGCACCGUCGGCGCGCCGGAGUACUGCCAUGCCAACUUCACCAAGUACUUCACCGACCGGUUCUGGUCAGAGGAGCAG
rnacentral:rRNA from 1 species